rnacentral:lncRNA from 1 species
UCUUGACUGGAGACUCUCUAGAAGUCUCCUCAAUUCCAGAAGUGUAAUCUAAAAAUGAUUCUAAGUCUUAAGUAUCAGACCUCAGUGGACAGCCUUGUGCAAGGCACCUAGGAAAGAAAACUGAGGGAGGUCGAAGACUGCUACUAUUUCCCAAAGGUAAGGCAACACACAUUCCCAACUGCUCUUCCUUUUUUCAUUUGUUAGUCCAACAAACCUUUUU